CUUCUUCGGGGCAGGGUGAGAUCCCCUACCGGCGGUAUAGUCCGCGAACCUGCGAAAGCAGGCCGACCCGGUGAGAUCCCGGGACCGACAGUAUAGUCUGGAUGAGAGAAGA
rnacentral:ncRNA from 1 species